rnacentral:rRNA from 1 species
GACGAACGCUGGCGGCGUGCUUAACACAUGCAAGUCGAACGAAGUGGCGAACGGGUGAGUAAUACGUUAGUAACCUGCCCUCCUUUCUGGGAUAAGCCUUGGUAACGGGGUCUAAUACCGAAUAAAGGGGGAUGGGCUCGCGGCCUAUCAGCUUGUUGGUGGGGGGAGGGCCUACCAAGGCGGUGACGGAUAGCUGGCCUGCUAGGGUGACGGACCGCGAUGGGACUGAGAUACAGCCAAGAGUCCUACGGGAAGCAGCAGUGGGGGGUAUUGCACGGUGGGCGAAAACCGAAAGCAGAGACGCCGCGUGGGGAAGGAAGGCUUUCGGGUUGUAAACCUCUAUCGCUAUCGAACGGGUAGGUGGAGAAGAAGCGCCGGCUAACUACGUGCCAGCAGCCGCGGUAAUAC